rnacentral:lncRNA from 1 species
AUUUAUACAUUUUAUUGUUAUUUAUUAAAUUGAAACUUACAAAACAUGAUAUGUUCUGAUACACAAUACACUACAAUUUUAUUUUGAUCUGUACUGCGUUUCACAAUAAUUUAGCUACUCAUAACAGAGGGCGAACAACAAUAUUUGAUAUAUUGUCAGUAUAGGAAUUUGAUGUUGUCAUGUCGAUUGACUGUCCCCAAAUCAAUCUCCAUGAUUCCAAGCCUUGAAAAUUCCAUUUUUUGAUAUCAAAUAGUUUCCUUACUCUCCAAUUUAGUCUCAACCGAAAUUGCCAUCUUGACUCUCCAAAAUUCCUCCCUUGGGGCUCAAACAGACCUUACCCUUUACAAGAAAACUCACAGCAAUGUUGAGAUAAUCUAAGCAGGGUUGAAGCGUUGUAGAUCAUAGUGUGAAGUCCUAAAUAACAUAGUAUGCUAGGAUGAAAUAGGCAUUGGCAUUUAUUUGUUUAUUUAUUUUUAUUUUUAUGAAAAACAAAUUUUAUUGAUAAAUGGAAUAAGAGAAGCUUCCUAUUAAAAAAAAAAAAAUCAAAGAAGCUUAAAAGGCUGCCAUCACUUAAAGGUACUAAUUCAUUGCCAUUGGAAACCAAAGACUAAAGAGGAAAGGCUAUGAUUGUUAAAGGGGUAUUGGCAUUUUAAUUCUUAGUGUCUCACUGCUCUAACAUGGUGUCUCGACCUUUACUUUUGAAUUUUGGUAUUUAGGCAAUUCUGCAAGUUAUUGUUGUUCGUGAAAUCCUCUUACUUUCUUGAGUUGUCUAUCUACUUGUGCCUCAUUGUGUUUUAAAUCUCUCAGGUCCCACCAGGUGAUUAUCGCCUAUCUGCUAUGGCAAUCUCUCCAGAAAGUGCUCCUGGACUACUGUUCUCGCCAUCUUAUGUUGAUGUUACAGUUAAAAGUCCCUUACUGAAUGUUGCUUUUUCACAGGUAAUAUUCUGAAUUUUCGCGGACUUCUUAGCCUUAUGGUACUUACUGUUUGUAGACUAUUCGUGAAUCCGUUAAUAAUUAUAAAAAGGAUAUUCUCAUAUUCCUGCUUUUAUACCAUUUGUUAAUUUCUUCACAUGAUAAAGUUUUUUUUAUCCGCUUCCAUUGAUUUAUUUUAUUUUGUACAAUUGAUUAUCAAGGCACUCGUCAAUAUACUUGGUUCUGUAACAUGCAAAGAGAGAUGUGGUUCAUCAGUAUCUAUUACCUUCCAGAGAUUGGCUGGUAAUCAUAUUAGUGAGAAGAAGACUAUCAGUUUGACAGAUGAGAGUAAUGCGUUUCAAAUUCAAGAUGUAAUGCCUGGAAAAUACAGGAUAGAGGUACAGCUAUUUGACCUUAAUAUUUAUAUUUAAUCUCUUGUUGUAGAUGGAACGGAUUUAUGAAAUUACAAGAGGGGGAAAAAGAGAGGGAAUUAGUACAUUGUUUUCCCCAGCCCUUUAUAUUUUCAAGUUAGCUUCAUCUGAAUUGUUGUGUUGUUGUUCAUGGGGGCUGGAAAUGAUAUAUGUCAGUUGCAUCAUCCCUAUAUUUUCUUGUCAAUAUAAUGUUUUUUUCCCACGAAAAAAAGACAAUUUUUUAUGAUGUGAUUAUGAGCACCGUCCCUCGUAUCAUAUGUUCUGCUUGGGCAUCCUUUCAAGGGAGAAAAGAGGACUCUUUGGGUCAAUUACAUUAGAAUUUUAUUUUAGACCAUUUGUAGUAUAUGAAAGUCAUUUUGUGAAUAGGGGAGGUACUUUAAUUAUUUUCUUAAAUCUCUGGUUUUUCUGAUAUAAAAGUUACCUUUUCCUUAAAGAUUUCACUCUUUUAUCUCACAUCCCGUUGGGAAUUUUCUUUUUGGAAUUCUGAGGUAUAGGCAAUAUGGCUUCUUUUUAUAAUUUCAUCACAUCAUUGAAAUUAUAGUUGUUUCUCUCUCUCCAAAAAAAUAAAAAGACCCAUAUUGAAUAUUGAACAUAGAUAGAUAUACAUGCUGAGUAAAUAUCUUUUAAUAGGUUUCACACUCAUCCAUUCAAGGCGGGGUUGGCAAAGAUGAUUGGUGCUGGGAGCGAAACUCCAUUGAAGUGGAUGUUGGUAUUGAGGAUGUACAUGGAAUUGAAUUCAUUCAAAAAGGUUAUUGGGUUAACGUUAUAUCUACUCAUGAUGUGGAUGUUUAUAUUUCUCAAAUGAAUGGGCCACCUAUGAACUUGAAAAUCAAGGUUAUUUCUACUCCAAGUCCCAAAGUUUUGUUUUCCUCUAUGGUUGUAGUUGUAGCAGCCUAGCGGGCAUGACACUGAAAUUGAUUCCCUUUGUUACGCAGAAAGGUUCUCAGUACAUAUGUGUGGAGUCUCCUGGAGUGCACGAAAUUCAGUUCUCCGACUCUUGUAUCUCCUUCGGGAGCUCAUCCGCUAAAAUUGAUACAUUAAACCUAGAGGUAUUGUAUUGUUCCAAAUUUGUUUUUCAUUAUUAUACUUCUGUGAAUUAUUUAUAUGAGAUUAAUUUUUCGUCUCUUUUUUUUGUCAAAUAUUUGUCAGCCCAUCUAUUUAAGAGGAGAAAAAUAUCUACUGAAGGGGAAAAUUAAUGUUGAUCCAGUCUCACUUGGUGUAUAUGAAUUACCUGAAAAUAUUCUGUUGAACGUUGUGGAUGCUGGAGGCAGUGUGGUUGGUAAUACUGAGGCCAAACUUACGUCUGAUGCCAAUAAUCAACCGAAUUUUGCCUUGUAUGAGUACUCUGUCUGGGCUAGCGCUGGAGAGGAACUCAC